AUGGUAUCAACGUAUUUUGUCAUUUUUUGUUUGUUCUUUUCCCUUGUUUAUUCCAAAUCAAUACAAAACGAUACUGAAAAGUCUACGGAUGAACGUAUUGAAAACCUGGAAAAUGUAGUAAAAUCAUUGACAACGACAAUUCAUCGUCUAAAUACAAGCAGUAAUAAAGCUACAUUGGAGGAAAAACCAGUGAUGUUUUACGCACUAACCGCUAGAUCUUUUACACUUGAAAAAACUUUCGACAGUAAUUUUUGAGAAGACAGUGAUCAACACUGGUGGACAUUACAACACAUUUGAUGGAGUUUUUGUAGCCCCAAGGACAGGGACCUAUUUCUUUUCUUGGACUACCUGCACACACAAUGCUAACUAUGCCUUCACUGAGUUGAUGGUAGAAAAUCAGCUCAUAGCAACGGCAGGAGUAUACGAACAUGCUGGCAGUUAUCACUGUGGGUCAAUGACAUCAUUGUGUAAAAUGAGCAAAGACGACCAUGCAUGGAUAUCGGAACACACCGCGCUCCACUUUUCUUGGUAUGCGAGUGAGCAGUGAGUGACAUUUUAUAUUUCCACAGAGAAACUUUUUUUAACCAAAAUAAAGUUGAAAUAUAGAGUCAACACUGCUGACACUUUAGUGACACAUGUUGUUUUGUUGUUUUGUUGUUAAAACAUUUUUCUACAAUUUUUCAUUGAACUAAGACGAAAAAACACUCUCUUUUUAUUGAGUUAAAAAAUCAUCAACCAUUGGCGAAAAUCACAUAUUUCCGUUUACAUUAAAAGUUGAAGAAUAAAAUGUUCGCCAUCACAAUUUGAAAUCAAUUGGUGUUAAUAAAACUUUCGACAUUACAAUUUGAAUUUGGAAUCCGUGUCAAUAAAACGACCAAAUGCUU